rnacentral:rRNA from 1 species
AGUGAACGCUGGCGGUAGGCCUAACACAUGCAAGUCGAACGGCAGCACAGUAAGAUCUUGCUCUUACCGGUGGCGAGUGGCGGACGGGUGAGGAAUACAUCGGAAUCUACUUUUUCGUGGGGGAUAACGUAGGGAAACUUACGCUAAUACCGCAUACGACCUACGGGUGAAAGCAGGGGAUCUUCGGACCUUGCGCGAUUGAAUUAGCCGAUGUCGGAUUAGCUAGUUGGCGGGGUAAAGGCCCACCAAGGCGACGAUCCGUAGCUGGUCUGAGAGGAUGAUCGGCGACACUGGAACUGAGACACGGUCCAGACUCCUACGGGAGGCAGCAGUGGGGAAUAUUGGACAAUGGGCGCAAGCCUGACCCAGCCAUACCGCGUGGGUGAAGAAGGCCUUCGGGUCGUAAAGCCCUUUUGUUGGGAAAGAAAAGCAGCAGGUUAAGACCACGCUGUUCUGACGGUACCCAAAGAAUAAGCACCGGCUAACUUCGUG